CUGGCACUGAAAAUGCUACUUCCUGUUUCCAGAUCUUGUAAAGGUCAGAAACUUUUACGGAUCUGCAGAGGUACUGUCAUCUACCAAUCAAGCUUCCAUAACCAACAGGUUUUACUUCUACCUUGCUCCAUUCUUCUUUCUCAAGAGGUCAGCUCGACGCCUAGCCUCUCUCUCCGCUGUCUGAACAUAAAAUUCAGCUCCGAGCAUGUCAUUUAUCUCGACAUUUGAUGAUAGGCUUGCUUCAGCGGUCUGAAUUAUCAGUUCAAUGGUAAGAGUGAAUCCUAGAGCUGAAAGCACACGCACAGCAUUGGCAAGCCGGCAAAUGUGUUUUCUAGUUUCUAUUGGGGUAAAAGUGUCC
rnacentral:lncRNA from 1 species